rnacentral:rRNA from 1 species
UACGUAGGGACCGAGCGUUGUCCGGAUUCAUUGGGCGUAAAGAGCUCGUAGGCGGCCACUCAAGUCGAAUGUGAAACCUCGAGGCUUAACCUCGAGCCUGCAUUCGAUACUGGGUGGCUAGAGUCUGGUAGGGGGAUCUGGAAUUCCUGGUGUAGCGGUGGAAUGCGCAGAUAUCAGGAGGAACACCGGUGGCGAAGGCGGCUUGCUGGGCCUUACCUGACGCUGAGGAGCGAAAGCGUGGGGAGCGAACAGG